UCUGCAUCCUCAGCACCGUUUCACACCAUAAACCCAUUCCUGCUGAGUUGUGCUACUUAGUCACGCAGACAAAAAUGACUACAUUAGGUACCAAAUCACCUUUAGGGUGUUCAGCUCCCCAGUCUUUGCCUGCUUCAGAAGGAGCGUAGAGUAAGCGUAGCCACCUAACUCAGGUUUCUCAAGCUUAAUAGUAGAAACGGAGAGUGGAAAUACUCCUCUCCCAUCUGUGUCUGUUUUUACAAAUGAGACUCCCACAGAACUGAGGAGUCCUUCUUCUUUUAAUUAAAGUGAUGAUAUGACCAUGGUGAGUGGCUACACUGAAUCUUUUAACUUCUUAUGAAUUCAUGAUAUAAGCAGUCUCUCUGCUUGACCAUUAAUUUAAAUACUCAUGCAAAACCUAGGAUUACUUGAUGCCUUUCUCUCUUUCAUACAGGCUUAUAAUGACCUUAAAAGCAUUAACUCAAUGUGAGGUCACAGAAUAAUUUCAGCUGCGGAUCAGUUGCUUAAUAACAGUUUUCUCAGAGUCAUGUAAUCACACAGGCUGUAAGGCUCAAGUAAUUCUUUCAUUUUCUGCCUCCAUAUUAAUGGAUUUAACCACUCCUAUGCACAAAAAGGAGAAAUGAGCUAACAGGAGAUUUUCUGUACUUGGGUUUACAGUGUCCAAAACAUACAGAGAAGCACGUAUCAUCUGAAAAAUUACUCAGGUAUUUCUGUAACUACUUAAGAAAUCAAAUGCUGUUUCAAAGUCAACCACCAGUAUAGUCACCUCUCACACAGUACGAGCAGGAUCUCACAGUGUUUUACCAUGUCAGUAACUAAUGGCUUGUCUUUGACUAUAUCUUAAGUCAAUUAAAUAAGUUUAUAGGCUGUGGUAGGCAAAACCUAACAAAUUUAUUUUUAGUCAUAAUUUUUAAUGGUUAAAAAUUUAGCCUGGUUUUAAAGUGAACUUUCUCUUGAUGAAAUAUGACAUGUCCCGUAAGCAAAUUAUUUGAUUUUGACACUGCUGUGAUACUGCCUUUUUUAGUGUCAGAAAUAUUUAUGAUUUUAAACAGGACAAUGCAUGGAUAAAAUGU